AUUCAACUGACGUGUCUCAAAUAGAACGAAACGUGUGUCCUGGAU
rnacentral:hammerhead_ribozyme from 1 species